CUACUAUCUCCCCUUUCUCUCCAGUUUACCUUUACUUCAAAGAUGCCAAGCACGUGGCUGCUUCAGGUCUUUCACAUUUGGUGUUUCCUGCUUCAAAUACUUGUAUUUCAGGUUAUAGACCGCUCCUGGCUUUCUUUCAAUACAGUGUUUGCUCCUUCGGUCCAUCCCAUGUAAGUGGGUCCAUCCAUGUUGCACACAUUACCUGAAUUUUUAAUUCCACUGGAAGAUUUACCACAAAACCUGUAAAGUUCAUCCUUUAUGGCCUCUCACUUGCAAUUUGCAUGGGCUCCUUUGAAGGCCCUGGGGAGGACCUUACUAUUGAAGGAUAUAUAUAUAUUUUUAAGUAAGAAUAUGACUUUCAGAAAUUAAAGAAGACACAGAUAAAUGGAAGAC
rnacentral:lncRNA from 1 species